GAUGAACGCUGGCGGCGUGCCUAAUACAUGCAAGUCGAGCGAACAGACGAGUAUCUUGCUCCUCUUACGUUAGCGGCGGAAGGGUGAGUAAAACGUGGAUAACCUCCCUAUAAGACUGGGAUAACUUCGGGAAACCGGAGCUAAUACCGGAUAAUAUAUUUAUCCGCAUGGUUCAAUAGUGAAAGACGGUUUUGCUGUCACUUAUAGAUGUAUCCGCGCUGCAUUAGCUAGUUGGUAAGGUAACGGCUUACCAAGGCAACGAUGCGUAGCCGACCUGAGAGGGUGAUCGGCCACACUGGAACUGAGACACGGUACAGACUCCUACGGGAGGCAGCAGUAGAGAAACUUACGCAAUGGGAGAAAGCCUGACGGAGCAAAGCCGCGUGAGUGAUGAAGGUAUUCGGAUCGUAAAACUCUGUUAUUAGGGAAGAACAAAUGUGUAAGUAACUAUGCACGUCUUGACGGUACCUAAUCAGAAAGCCACGGCUAACUACGUG
rnacentral:rRNA from 1 species